ensembl:ncRNA R11G1.9 ncRNA
UUGAAACAAGAAAACACACGAAGAUAGGCUGCGGGACAAGAAAAGAAAGCGAGCGCAACCUCCAUUUCCGAUCAUUUUCCAUCAAUCUUGCUGAGUUCUUUCAAGUAAAGAACAAGUUUCGGGAAUGAGUAUAAUUUUUUU